GGAGGAAGGCCCGGCGCUGCGCUGCGCGUUGCCUGGCAACGGGCGGCCUGCGCGGCGCCUUCGUCCCGUCAGGGAAGGGCCGGCCACUUGCUGAUUUGUCUCCAAUUUGCAGCUUAUUAGAAGAGUCUGUGAUGAGCUGGGUACACAGUGCUCCAUUGUUUUGAGCUGCUUGAAACUCUGUUGUCAUAUAAAAGUGGGAAUACCUUGUCACAGCCCCGAAAAGCUUGCUUUACUCUGCCCUGAAGAACCUAAGCUAGAGACUCAUGCUGAAGAGGACUCUUGAAAGUCACCAGUACUGUCCUUUAAUUUCCUGAAGAAAGGAGGUCAUUAUUCAGUAAUUUACUCUCUUUUGUUUUUUCUCUAGAGUUUCUGCAUAUUGUAUCUGUAUCUGUUCACCUCCCAACUUCUGAAAAUCGGAAGGACUUUGUUUUAAAGUUCCCUCUUUUCCAUAAAUUAAUUUCCAUAGAAUAUCUGGCUGCAGAUGAAUAGUUUUAUAGCUACAUGCCCAAACUUGUUUCCACUAAAUUUAUAUACAUACAUACAUACAUAUAUAUAUAUAUAUAUUUUUUUUCCUAUUUGCAACUGUUUUCUCAGGUGACAGCAUUUUUGAAGCCCCAUUCUGAAUAGUCCUGUGGGGGCCAAAGAUGCAUCUUUUCCCAGUUCACUGGCUAGUCGGUCUAUUUUUCAGCGAUACAAUUUGUUAGUAUCUGAACAAGGAAGUUGCCGCUAUUUACAUGGGAAGAAUCAGAGAGAUGACAGGAUUUCCCCCCCCCCCAAGCACUUACUGUGUAAUUGCUGAAGACAUUCCAAGCCACUCUAACGAAGUGUACUGUCUGCCAGUCAUUAUGCUCUUCUUGGAAGACCAUCUGUUGCACUUCAAAUACGUAAAGGUCUGCCAUCAUUUAUCGCAUCAAACAAAUCAGUUUCUUUGUCUGACAUGUUGUAACUCGUAAAUGGGGACUAAAGGUAGUUUCAGUUGCAAAGUACAGAAUAUUCUCUUUUGUUGCGCUGUAAAUGGAAGGUACUCAUUUUUUUACCUCAAAUUUCAAAAGCCAAACAUACUGAUUGAUUGUCAAUGCUUUUGAGUAGUAUUAAUUUAUUUGGCAGCAUAUUGUCAAUAACAGAAAAUUCUGGAAUAUAUUUUCUCUUAAGUCAGCUAGAAGUACCUUGUAAGAUUUUUGCUUCUGGUACAUGAACCUUUCCUUUGUGUUG